rnacentral:rRNA from 1 species
CCUACGGGAGGCAGCAGUGAGGAAUAUUGGUCAAUGGACGAGAGUCUGAACCAGCCAAGUAGCGUGAAGGAUGACUGCCCUAUGGGUUGUAAACUUCUUUUAUAUGGGAAUAAAAUGUUCCACGUGUGGGAUUUUGUAUGUACCAUAUGAAUAAGGUUCGGCUAACUCCGUGCCAGCAGCCGCGGUAAUACGGAGGAUCCGAGCGUUAUCCGGAUUUAUUGGGUUUAAAGGGAGCGUAGGUGGAUUGUUAAGUUAGUUGUGAAAGUUUGCGGCUCAACCGUAAAAUUGCAGUUGAAACUGGCAGUCUUGAGUACAGUAGAGGUGGGGGGAAUUCGUGGGGUAGCAGUGAAAUGCUUAGAUAUGACGAAGAACUCCGAUUGCGAAGGCAGCUCACUGGACUGCAACUGACACUGAGGCUCGAAAGUGUGGGGAUCAAACAGGAUUAGAUACCCCUGUAGUC